ACAAGGAUUCCCCUAGUAAUGGCGAAUGAAGAGGGAAAAGCUCAAAUUUUAAAUCUACCUGGUUCCCAGGUCGAGUUGUAAUUUGAAGAAGCGAUAUCGGUGUGGAGGUCUGGUUCAAGUUCUUUGGAACAAGACAUCAUGGAGGGUGAGAAUCCCGUGCAUGAUCAGACCAAGAUACUUAAUAUUCGCUUUCUAAGAGUCGAGUUGUUUGGGAAUGCAGCUCAAAUUGGGUGGUAGACUUCACCUAAGGCUAAAUAUCAGCGAGAGACCGAUAGCGAACAAGUACUGUGAAGGAAAGAUGAAAAGAACUUUGAAAAGAGAGUUAAAUAGUACGUGAAAUUGUUGAAAGGGAAACGAUUGAAGUCAGUCAUGCUAGUGAAAAUUCAGUUUGGUGGGUUUUGGGUUCAGGAGUUGAGGCAGGGUCAAACCGUUUCUCUUUUGAACUUGGAAUUUGUCAGAUGCACUUUUUCUUUGGCAGGUCAGCGUCGAUUUCGGAGGUUGUAAAAUACUUGGGGAAAAGUAGCUCUGCUUCGGGAGAGUGUUAUAGACCUUGGGUGAUGCAGCCUGGGGGAUCGAGGAUUGCAGCAAAUGCCUUUGGCUUGUCGCCUGAUCUCUGGACGUCAUCUCGC
rnacentral:rRNA from 1 species